rnacentral:rRNA from 1 species
UACAGAGGUCCCAAGCGUUGUUCGGAUUCAUUGGGCGUAAAGGGUGUGUAGGUGGCGCCGUAAGUCGGGUGUGAAAUUUCGGAGCUUAACUCCGAAACUGCAUUCGAUACUGCGGUGCUUGAGGACUGGAGAGGAGACUGGAAUUCCUGGUGUAGCGGUGAAAUGCGCAGAUAUCAGGAGGAACACCGGUGGCGAAGGCGGUUCUCUGGGAAUAUCCUGACGCUGAGGAGCGAAAGUGUGGGGAGCGAACAGG